rnacentral:lncRNA from 1 species
UAUUUCUGUCAGCCAUCUUUCUUGAAGCAACUCUCCAGGGUUUGGUCGCAGAGGUUGUGGGAGUUUAGGGAAACACUCGAUAGAAAGUCUGCAUCUCAAUUCACUUCGUUCGGAGAGCUAACUAGAGGGCUGAAAAGGCACUAUGCCUCAUUCAAAGUUGAAUUGGUUUACCACUACGACUCGAUGGGGCUUGUUGGAUGCUGCAAAACGGAGGCUAGACAAGAUGAACACUAUGGGGUAUUUCCUGAUGAUGCUUAUAGAUUGGAAGACCAAGGCCAAAAAAGCCAAUCUAUAAAGCAGACUGGCAUGCCCCAAAGGAUCUCGUUUGGUCUCGGCGUCAUCUGACUUGGAGAGUUGUGGACAAAGCCUAUUAAUAUUUGGUUCUCAGUUUCUCAACAACAGCAGCCGAGAGAGAGGAACAAGAGAGCGGCAAAUGAGGUGGAAAACAGACACCUCGACGGAGUGGAUGGAGAGAGAAACAACAGACAAACAGCAUAGGGAGAGAGAGAGUCUGUCUGAAAGUGAUGACAUCUCUUUUCAUCCUUUUAAUCUUGUUGUUCAACAACCAGCUCUUCCUGUCCUCUUCCCCCUUCAGGGCAGCUAGCCUGGCCUCCUCUUCCUCAGUGUAGUUAUUCUGGCAUCUUCUUCCUCAGUGCAGCUAGCCUGGCCUCCUCUUCCCCCUUCAGGGCAGCUAGCCUGGCCUCCUCUUCCUCCCUCAGGGCAGCUAGCCUGGCCUCCUCUUCCUCCCUCAGGGCAGCUAGCCUGGCCUCCUCUUCCUCAGUGUAGUUAUUCUGGCAUCUUCUUCCUCAGUGCAGCUAGCCUGGCCUCCUCUUCCUCCCUCAGGGCAGCUAGCCUGGCCUCCUCUUCCUCCCUCAGUGUAGUUAUCCUGGCCUCCUCUUCCUCCCUCAGUGCAGCUAGCCUGGCCUCCUCUUCCUCCCUCAGUGUAGUUAUCCUGGCCUCCUCUUCCUCAGUGUAGUUAUCCUGGCAUCUUCUUCCUCAGUGUAGUUAUCCUUGCCUCCUCUUCCUCCCUCAGUGCAGCUAGCCUGGCCUCCUCUUCCUCAGUAUAGUUAUCCUGGCCUCCUCUUCCUCCCUCAGAGUAGUUAUCCUGGCCUCCUCUUCCUCCCUCAGGGCAGCUAGCCUGGCCCUCUCCUCUUCCUCCCUCAGUGCAGCUAGCCUGGCCUCCUCUUCCUCCCUCAGUGCAGCUAGCCUGGCCUCCUCUUCCUCCCUCAGGGAAGCUAGCCUGGCCUCCUCUUCCUCCCUCAGGGCAGCUGGCCUGGCCUCCUCUUCCUCCCUCAGGGCAGCUAGCCUGGCCUCCUCUUCCUCCCUCAGGGCAGCUAGCCUGGCCUCCUCUUCCUCCC